CUGUAGAAAAAAAAAAAAAGGAUCAGAUAAAAGAAUGAUCACUUAGGCGGGGAUACUCUGGCACAUCUCCACAUGCCUAAACGCUUCCCGGUGUCAGCACAUUGGCUGCUCGUCAAAGAGCAGAAAGAGAGAGCGACUGAGGGAGAAAGAUCAGAAAAAAAGACGCAAAUGAUGGGUGGCAAAGCAUCAGUGAGGGUGCUACUGUUUAUCCGCACGCUGCGUCUCCAACUGAAGAGGCUGAGAGUGACUGUGGAGGAGGAGGAAGAGGAGAGUGAGGUGCAUCAUCACUCAGCAUCCCUACAGGUUGACAAUGAGCAGAUGCAUUUCUCCCUCACAUCCAUGUUCAGGAUGUCGCCUUCAUCUGGAGCCUGAGCGUCAGCGGCUCUGCAGCGCUCUGCCUCACGACUCGUUCAAUGAUCUAACACUUUCAAUUGAUGCUGAGAAGAAGAUCUAAGUCCAAGGAAAUGUGAAAAGAGGUGAACCCGAAACAACAGAGCUGGGGAGUCAAUGAGAGGGUCUGUGCUGUGUCAAUAGAAAUUAAAGUGAAGGAAUCAGAUGCCGCAAAGAUGGAAAAUUCCACAACAAGAAGCGGACGACGUGCCAGAACAGGGAAAUGUGCGUAUAAACUUCCACAUGACUGCUGCGCGUCUACAGCUCAAUCACAGUUUCUGCUAAAGGCUGCAUGAAGGACUGUAACCUAAUCUUCCAAAUGAAACCAACGCGGCCGUCUCAGAGGGAAUACGUCUGAAACCAGGGUUUUUUUUACAGUGUGGAAACUGAGAAGACGCACCGAAAUACCUCCUGAUUGUGUGUAUGUGUGUGUAGCAGAAAAGGGCAGAAAGUGCAUCAAUAAAGACAGAAUUAGUGCAUCCUGCUGAUUCUGAAACUGCCUAA